AACCGAGAACUCCUACGGGAGGCAGCAGUGGGGAAUUUUGGACAAUGGGGGCAACCCUGAUCCAGCAAUGCCGCGUGAGUGAAGAAGGCCUUCGGGUUGUAAAGCUCUUUGUCAGGGAAGAAACGGUAGUAGCUAAUAUCUAUUACUAAUGACGGUACCUGAAGAAUAAGCACCGGCUAACUACGUGCCAGCAGCCGCGGUAAUACGUAGGGUGCAAGCGUUAAUCGGAAUUACUGGGCGUAAAGCGUGCGCAGGCGGUUGUGUAAGUCAGAUGUGAAAUCCCCGGGCUCAACCUGGGAAUUGCAUUUGGGACUGGACGGCUAGAGUGUGUCAGAGGGGGGUAGAAUUCCACGUGUAGCAGUGAAAUGCGUAGAUAUGUGGAGGAAUACCGAUGGCGAAGGCAGCCCCCUGGGAUAACACUGACGCUCAUGCACGAAAGCGUGGGGAGCAAACAGGAUUAGAUACCCGUGUAGUCCGACUGAGA
rnacentral:rRNA from 1 species